rnacentral:rRNA from 1 species
UACGAAGGGGGCUAGCGUUGCUCGGAAUCACUGGGCGUAAAGGGUGCGUAGGCGGGUCUUUAAGUCAGGGGUGAAAUCCUGGAGCUCAACUCCAGAACUGCCUUUGAUACUGAGGAUCUUGAGUUCGGGAGAGGUGAGUGGAACUGCGAGUGUAGAGGUGAAAUUCGUAGAUAUUCGCAAGAACACCAGUGGCGAAGGCGGCUCACUGGCCCGAUACUGACGCUGAGGCACGAAAGCGUGGGGGAGCAAGCAGG